rnacentral:tRNA from 1 species
GCAAGACUAGUUUAAUUAAAAUGAUAGUUUGUCUCACUAUUGAUAGCUAUGGCUGUGUUGCU